GAAAUACAUGAAUCUCAUGGUCUCUGAGGCUCUCCCACGCACUGAGUGCUUUCUUUGAAGUCUUGAUACUGAAAAUCAGGAAAAAGUACUGAAAAAAGUGGCACUGGGAGAAACAUUUUUUUUUUUAACUUAUGUUUUAUAACACAAGCAGUUCCCUGGAUAAAAAGCUUACCUGUUUUAUAAGAAUAGUUAUGGAAUAGUCGCUGUCUGUGCAAAGCGCUGUUUCAAGCUCUCAGUGAGGAAUCCAAAGUUGAGUAAUACCUGAUUUCUAUCUUAAAGUUGAUUCAAGUUGCUUAUAAACUUAUUGGGGAAACAAAAAAUGUAUUGAGGGCCUACUGGGUGCUAAUACUGUGCUAAGUGCUAGAAAUAAAAAAAUAAGAAUCUCUGUUAUCAAGAAUGUAUGGUCUAGUGAGGGAGAGAGGCAAUGAAUUGUCCUGUAACAAUACCGAAAGAUAAAUACAAAGAUGGAAGGCUGUUCGGGGACAGGGUGUGGGAGGCCAGAGGAAGGGCAUGGAAAAGGAUCGUCUGGAGCAGGAGAUGGUUAAAUGUGCCCUGAAGAAAGAAGAGGAGGUAGCUAGGUAGAGAGCUGAGUGCCUUCGUUCAUACCACUGAUUCAAUGCAGAAAACAGACCCUAAAUUCUAAAUGGCACACUGGAAACAGAAUUUCAAAACAAAGUCCAUUGGCUUCUGAUCUCUUUUUAAGAGCCCUGGAAAUCGAUCAUUUGAAUUUCCUGAAGGAGGGGAAGCUUUAAACACCACCUGGAAACCCAUGCAUAAAGGACCUUUACUAGGAGUUCUGUCUACUCUCUACUUGUUAGUCAGCAGCUUAAACAAAGGUAAAGAGCAGACUUAAAGUGACCACAUGACCCUGUCUGGGUUGUAGGAACACAGAAGAGGGGAGAGUGGUUAGUUCCGAUUGGGAGAAGUUUUCUUGGAGCAUUGACUUUGAAGGAGGAGAUGGGGCACAGAAGGGCAAGUAUGGAAAACAGGCCAGGCAGCGGGAGUUGAAUGAGAAAGGAUUCAGUGGGUGGAAAUACAUGAUGUACGUGGGCAGCAGUGCAGAUCGUGGAAUAAUUUUGCUUUGCGCGUGGAGAUAUGCAGUGGAAGAUCAGGCGAGGAAGACGUUGCCUCAGCUCAGACUCUCAAGUCUGUUGAUUACACCAUUAAAUUAGAACAGUGCCUGGGACAUCGGUAAGUAUAUUCUAUUAUUAUCUUUAUU
rnacentral:lncRNA from 1 species